AACGAACGCUGGCGGCAUGCCUAACACAUGCAAGUCGAACGAGACCUUCGGGUCUAGUGGUGCACGGGUGCGUAACGCGUGGGAACCUUCCCUUAGGUUCGGAAUAACUCCCCGAAAGGGGUGCUAAUACCGGAUAAUGUCUUCGGACCAAAGAUUUAUCGCCUUUGGAUGGGCCCGCGUUGGAUUAGCUAGUUGGUAGGGUAAAAGCCUACCAAGGCGACGAUCCAUAGCUGGUCUGAGAGGAUGAUCAGCCACACUGGGACUGAGACACGGCCCAGACUCCUACGGGAGGCAGCAGUGGGGAAUAUUGGACAAUGGGCGAAAGCCUGAGCCAGCAAUGCCGCGUGAGUGAUGAAGGCCUUAGGGUUGUAAAGCUCUUUUACCCGGGAUGAUAAUGACAGUACCGGGAGAAUAAGCUCCGGCUAACUCCGUG
rnacentral:rRNA from 1 species